AAACAAAUCAAUCUCCAGACCAUCUCCUUGGACUUCAGAUCACUGGAGGCUUAAGUUUUCUCCUGCUCCUCCUGUUGCUGUCCUUCUGCUGCAGACAGCAUAAAGGUGCAGUUCAGCAGAGGAGGACAAGAAUCAUAAAGCAAGAAGAGGCCCCAAAUCAUGAGGAAUCUCACAUGGAAAGCUCGUUACCAAGGAUGGUAUCAACAAUUUAUGCAAAGAUUGGAGAAGAUGCUGGGCAGAGGCAGCGCAGAUCAGAGUCACAGACUGAAUACACCUCUUUAAUCUUCUCUUAACAGCAGCUGUAACCCCAACAUGCAGAGCUGGUUUUAGGCAUGAUCGGCACAUAUAGUUACUCUGGGAGCCACACAGUUCAGGAGCACUGCUGUAAAUAAUCAAAUUAUCCUAUUUAAUGGGAACGGCACAGAAAUGGCAAUAUUGCUUAGAUGGUUUUUCCAGACUUCCCAACUCUUCAGAAGAGUGUAUUCUACACAUGUAAAUGGAUGAUGGAUUAAAUCCAAAGUGUCUUUGUGGACUCAGGACUCAUCUGUUUAGGUGCAGCUUGAGGCACUGAAACCUGUAGAUUAUCAUUAUUGUCUCUUCGUACUCUGGUAGAGCCUGGAGGCCCCAGUCAGGGAUCAGGAUACCAUUGUUCCAAGCAAUGUACAAACAUAACGUAAAGAGGGUUCCAGCCCCAAAGCAUAUGGGACAAUUUAAGCACUAAUAUGAGUUCCACUGACAUGUACCCUGUGUAUUCUUGCUCUACUACCUCUCUGGGUGCAUAUGAUAUGUAGUAUGUGUAGCAUUUGGAGCCAUCAGGUGGUAUCCAGAAUAAGAAACUUACUAUAUCUUGUUCUAGGCUCUGCUGUGGUCUGGGUGCUCUGUGAAGAUCCUGGAAUGAGCUGCUCUUUAUUCAUUCUAAAACAAUUUUGAAAACAUGGAGUGAAGAUAAUACGAAUUGGGUGAGUGGGAUGUGGAAUUGCUACUUAUCUGGGUAAAGAAGAUCUUCCUUUUGCAACUGUUUAAAUUUUUCAUUUGGCAGGAAGCUCAUGUCCAUGGGCUCCCCUUAAUUUGGGAGCCUGGAAAUGUAACAGAGAAUCUCAGAUUCUUUUUAAAGUAAGUUUCUUUCCCUUUCACUGUGAAGAAACCCUUGGUACAUU